rnacentral:rRNA from 1 species
GGAAGUAAAAGUCGUAACAAGGUUUCCGUAGGUGAACCUGCGGAAGGAUCAUUACUGAUUUGGCGGACCGAGCGUCAGCGAGGUUUCGCGAUCGCCUGUAUUUAAAACCCACACUUUUGAAUUAUGUAUAUUUUUGUAUUUUUUAAAUGAUAAAAAAAAAAGAUCACUUUCAACAACGGAUCUCUUGGCUCUCGCAUCGAUGAAAAACGUAGCGAAGUGCGAUAAGUAAUGUGAAUUGCAAAAUUCCGUGAAUCAUCGAAUCUUUGAACGCAAAUUGCACUCUCUGGUAUUCCGGAAAGUAUGCCUGUUUGAGGGUCAGUUAAAUAAAAAUCGGUGUUGUUACUGCCUUUCGUAGUGACACGUCGGAAUUGAGUUGUCUUUACCUUCGGUUAAGUGACUUAAAAUUUUGCAUGAUUUUCGAACGUAUUUAAAUUGCUUACGUACGUUUGAGAUAUCGAAUAUUUUAUUAGGUUCGGUCAUCCUCAUGACUCGCGCCUAUAAUUUUUCAUUAAAUGACCUCAAAUCAGGUAAGAAUACCCGCUGAACUUAAGCAUAUCAAUAAGCGGAGGA